AGAGGUGCUUGCACCUUUCAAGCGAGUGGCGAACGGGUGAGUAACACGUGGAUAACCUGCCUCAAGGCUGGGGAUAACAUUUGGAAACAGAUGCUAAUACCGAAUAAAACUUAGUAUCGCAUGAUAUAAAGUUAAAAGGCGCUACGGCGUCACCUAGAGAUGGAUCCGCGGUGCAUUAGUUAGUUGGUGGGGUAAGGGCUUACCAAGACGAUGAUACGUAGCCGACCUGAGAGGGUAAUCGGCCACACUGGGACUGAGACACGGCCCAGACUCC
rnacentral:rRNA from 1 species